UACAGAGGGGGCAAGCGUUGUUCGGAAUUACUGGGCGUAAAGGGCGCGUAGGCGGCCUGUUAAGUCGAACGUGAAAUCCCCGGGCUCAACCCGGGAACUGCGUCCGAUACUGGCAGGCUUGAAUCCGGGAGAGGGAUGUGGAAUUCCAGGUGUAGCGGUGAAAUGCGUAGAUAUCUGGAGGAACACCGGUGGCGAAGGCGGCCUUCUGGACAGUGACUGACGCUGAGACGCGAAAGCGUGGGGAGCAAACAGG
rnacentral:rRNA from 1 species